CAGGAAAUAGUUUAAAGUAGAAUUUUGGUUUUGGAUGCCAAUAGUGAGAAUAAAAAAUUUUCUUUUCUGA
rnacentral:tRNA from 1 species